AGAGAGGAGGGUCGGAGAUGUAAAUAUGGGAGUCAUGAGUGUAUAGACAGCAUUCAAAGCUAUGGGACAGGAUAAGUUGAGCAGAGAAAUAGUGUAAAAUAGAGAAGACCCAGAGGCUUAACCUUUGGAAACUGGGACAGAAAGGAGACUGAAAGGGACAAGAGUGGUAGGCCAGGAGAGUUUGACGUUCUAGAAGCAGGUUCAGGAGAGUGGAGCAGAGAGAAAUUCAGCUGGAGUUUAAGGCUAUUUAGGAGAAAGGAAGUGGAGACAAUGAGUGUACACAUCUCUUUCAAUAAAUUUUACUGUGACUGGACUAGUGGAACGGAGCUAUAAAUCAUUUAAUCUCUUUUUUUCUCUCUCUACAAGUGAAUAUUUAAAGACGAUAUUUUCAUAACAUUUAGCUUUUGUUACAAAACAAACCACCCCAAGAGCUAGUGGCUUAAAAGAUAAUUUUAAAAAAGAUAAAUAUUUAUAAUUUCUUAUUAUUCGGCUGGCUGUUCUUCCGGUCGGGGUAAGCUUGGCGGAGAUUGGUUCAUCCCAGAGGGCCUCAUUCACACGUCUGGCUGUUGGCACUAUGUCAGGUGAGGCAGGGCAUAACUUGGCCAUGUGUCCCUCAUCAUCCAGCAAGCUAGCCUGGGCUCAUUCACAUGGUGUGAUUGCAGAGUUUCCAAGAAAAACACACCAAUACUUUUCAAGUCUCUGCUUAUAUCACAUUUGCUAUUGUCCCAUUAACCAAAGCAAGGCACAUGGUUAAGCCAAGAGUCAGUGUGGGAGGGAAAUGCUCAAGGACAUGGAGAGAGGGAGGAAAUUAUAACAGUCCUUUUUGCAAAUAAUCUCCCACAACUAUUAAUGUAUUUCUAAUUAUGUGAAUUCAUCUUCUGAGUUGCUCAUGUUAGAAACCUCAAAGUUAUUUUCUGCCUCUUUUUUCUCUCAUAGAGUAAAAUGGGAAAUUAUUUAAUUAGCUAAGUAAAAAUGUAUUUUGUGGAAAAUCAUUUCCUCUCAGUACUUUAAUAAUCUAAAUAUUAAUAUAAACUUUGAUCACAGACCCAGUACUGUUUUGAUUAAUUAUACUCAGAAACUGGAAAAGAAAGAACAUAAUUGGCAGACUAAAAUAUGAAAUUUAUUCAAAUCCCUUAUAACAAAACAUGGCUUAAUAUACCAGUAAUACGUUUCAUUUUAUUUGUUUUCUUACAAAUAUGCAAAGAGGUAAUCACCAAUAAGUGGUAGUAUUUAAACACUUGGAAAAAAUAUUAAGCAAUACUCUUGUUGUAGCUAAUUGUGCAUAUGCAUCUUAUCUGAAGUUGGCAGCAAGUGAAAUUAAAUGGUUUUCCAAAUGACUGCAUUGCCAAUCCACCUUCUUUCAGCUAAUUGACUGAUUUUGGUCAUUGCUGCCUCCCAAGGGGGUCACUUGCACUGACGUGGAGUAUUGACAAUCCCGUAUGGCACUAAAGCUUGCUACAACCAUCGGUUGGUGCAACCCCACAGGGGGCCUUUUAGAAAGCACUGAAUAGGGAUCCUUUCCUGUUGAGAGAGAUGUGGAAUGGGAUACAGGCACGGCAUUGCAGAGAGGAAUGCUGUUGGACCCCACUCAAACAGCCUCAUAACAAGUCUGGGCCUUGGUUUAUUCAUCUGGAAAACAGGAGAUCGCCUUGAAAGUCUUCUCGCAAUCUGUGGCUCUCUGAGUCCACGUGAGCUCUGCCGGCGUAAUAGAAUCAGCACACUGUUAACCACAGAAAUGGAGGAAGGAGCCCUGAACACCCCAAUUCUGGUUAAAACAGGAGGCAAGAGCAAUCACAACCAGUGUCUAGUAACAUGUUUACCAUUCUGCAGACACAAAUCCAAAGUUCAAGCGACACAAGCAUAACAGCAGGGUCGGAAUCCAAAACUUCGCAUACACCAAAAGGCUACAGUCAUCUGUGACUGGUGUUGGUUCCAGAAUUGAGCCUUGAUUGUUUUUCAAAUGUUGGAAAAUGUCUGUGCAGCAUCUUGUGGUUGAAAUGCCUGCUCACCUGCUUUCUGAGGUCUGUCAGGUUGACAAGCUCAGGAGGGAGUCUCCGCCACUUUUUGAGCCCCAGAUCUCUGAGAAUCUGUAACAGUCCCAGGUGCAGUCAGUUGUCCAUGCAACGUGCAUAUGCACCUCACAUAUGCAAACAAUUAAGAAGGCUUCCUGGGUCUCAGGCGCCAGGGGAAACCUGCUUGUCCGGCCAACCCCUCACUCUCCUUCCUGUUUCUGACCUGCGUCAUAACACCACUCGUCGUCUCAACCCUAGUUGGCACCCACGCCAGUCAAGCCACUCGACUUGAAAGUAAACUCCUCAUCUCCAGGAAUGAAGAUUAUUUUUUUCAAUCUCUCUCUUUUUAUAUAACAAAAGGAAGAAAAGAAACCCUUCACAAAACAGAUGCAUCGGUAUUCAGGAAGGCAGAUGCCGGACUCAGACAGAAGGUUCCUCUCGAGUCUGUGCCCUCCUCUGAUGGACCCAGGGGCCAGAAGAGGGUGAGGCUGGCAGGUGUAAAUGGAGGCUAGCCGUCCUCAUCAGAAAACCUGACUGAAGGCUGCUCUUAAAGAACCGGUCGGAAACGUCGAGGGGGAGGAAUUUAAAGCAAGCAUACAAACCUUCGGGAUGCUCACUGGUGCCUUCUGCUUCUCCUCCACAUUUUGAUUUUUCAGGUUAUUUUAAGGUUUUCAUACCGCAGUCAAGGUCGCAAGCCUCCAUUGCUGCCUUUGAUGAAGCCAUUUAUCUUGGUGCCAACAGCAGGAAGUCGAAAGACUGCACUUGCGAAGGCACCCCCGGGAGAUCCUGAUGCAGCUUCUCACGUUGAGGAACACUUGCUCGUGUUAUGAUCCUGGGUGUUCCCAGUAUGGAACAUUUUCAUGCUGUGGGAGAGAGUCUGCACGCUACAGUUCCUCUGGUCAGCUCUCCAGAUCCAUGAAGUAAUAGCAUUGGGACAGUUAUUUAACUUCUCUGAGACUUCGUCUUGACAUCUGUGAAAUAGGGCUAAUAAGAAAGACUGCCACAAGGCUGGUGUGAAGGUAAAUGAACAGCCUAUGAAGCACAGAGCCUAGUGCCUAGUAAAUGCUCAGUAACUAUUAUUUUUCUUGUGUUUUCAUCGUGAGAGGCUGUAGGACCCUUUGAUAAGGCAAGUCUAUGAGAAAUGGAAAAAUUGGACUGUCAAUGCCUGUAAAUGAGAAAUGAUGGUCAGGUAUUCACCUGACCUCAGGAAGUGCAUAGCUCUGUCGGAGGGAAAAACGGUAUCAGAUGCUUUAGAAGUCUAAGAGUCGUAACUGGAAACAGUGACAGGCCUGGUAGGCAACAGCUGUUGUCAUUAGAGACCAACUAUAUGCUCAAGAGGCACAGAAGGGCUGGUCAUGCCUGAACCCCUCUAGUCUUUUCCAAAUUGCUGUGAACUUCCGGCGUCAGCACUAUUGUCUCUAUGUCCCCAGACAAUGACAAAAUGUAUAAUGAUUCUAUAUGAUGACUUAGCCUUACCCAAGUCAAUUGUGUCAAUGUGGCUAGACUCCCUACAAAAAGUUUCCUUCAAAUAAUUUAAAUAAAGGAUCUAAAACAUGGCACGAGGUAUGCUAUUUCCAGAUCUUGUGGGGGUUUUUCUUCUGAAGUCUCUGUGUUCCAGUGAUGACCAAAUAGCUUGUUUCUUACAGGUUUGCCAUUUUGGCACUUUCUUCCCUGUUUUUUAUGGUGCUUCCCCCGUUGUGUCUCUUUCCGAUCUGUUUCUCGUUUUUCUUUGCAGCUUCUGUCUGUAAAUUUCGGGGUUUUCUUUCUUUGUUCCUU
rnacentral:lncRNA from 1 species